rnacentral:rRNA from 1 species
AGCUCCAAUAGCGUAUAUUAAAGUUGCUGCAGUUAAAAAGCUCGUAGUUGCAUUUCCGAGGCAAGGGAUUAGUCCGACCUUUGGUGGGUAUUUAAUCCUCUUGCCUCGUCCUUGAGUGGUGCUUCUUGGUAUUAAGUUAUCGAGGAGAUAGCCGCUCAUCGUUUACUGUGAGAAAAUUAGAGUGUUCAAAGCAGGCUUAUGCCGUUGAAUAUAUUAGCAUGGAAUAAUAAGAUAGGACCGCGGUACUAUUUUGUUGGUUUGAGAACCAAGGUAAUGAUGAAUAGGGACAGUUGGGGGUAUGCGUAUUCAGUUGUCAGAGGUGAAAUUCUUAGAUUUACGGAAGACGAACUACUGCGAAAGCAUUUACCAAGGAUGUUUUCA